rnacentral:rRNA from 1 species
AUUGGGCGUAAAGCGCGUGUAGGCGGUCUUUUAAGUCUGAUGUGAAAGCCCCGGGCUCAACCUGGGAAGUGCAUUGGAAACUGGGAGGCUUGAGUACGGGAGAGGAGAGUGGAAUUCCUAGUGUAGGAGUGAAAUCCGUAGAUAUUAGGAGGAACACCGGUGGCGAAGGCGGCUCUCUGGACCGAUACUGACGCUGAGACGCGAAAGCGUGGGUAGCAAACAGGAUUAGAUACCCCAGUA